rnacentral:rRNA from 1 species
UACGAAGGGGGCGAGCGUUGUUCGGAAUCACUGGGCGUAAAGAGUGCGUAGGCGGUCCCGCAAGUCCGCUGUGAAAGCCCCGGGCUUAACCUGGGAAUGGCAGUGGAAACUAUGGGACUUGAAUCUGGCAGAGGGGGGUGGAAUGCCACGUGUAGCAGUGAAAUGCGUAGAGAUGUGGCGGAACACCGAUGGCGAAGGCAGCCCCCUGGGCUGAGAUUGACGCUCAGGCACGAAAGCGUGGGGAGCAAACAGG